UACAGAGGGGGCAAGCGUUGUUCGGAAUUAUUGGGCGUAAAGCGCGUGUAGGCGGCAGUGCAAGUCGGGUGUGAAAGCCCUCAGCUCAACUGAGGAAGUGCGCCCGAAACUGCAUUGCUUGAGUACCGGAGAGGAUGGCGGAAUUCCCGAAGUAGAGGUGAAAUUCGUAGAUAUCGGGAGGAACACCGGUGGCGAAGGCGGCCAUCUGGACGGAUACUGACGCUGAGACGCGAAAGCGUGGGUAGCAAACAGG
rnacentral:rRNA from 1 species